GGAUCUGUCGCCUAGUGGCCUAUGGCGCUCGCUUGGAAAGCGGGUUGGGUGCAAGCCCUCGGGGGUUCGAAUCCCCCCAGAUCCGCCA
rnacentral:tRNA from 1 species